AUUGAACGCUGGCGGCAUGCUUUACACAUGCAAGUCGGACGGCAGCACAGGGAAACUUGCUUCUUGGGUGGCGAGUGGCGAACGGGUGAGUAACAUAUCGGAACGUACCGAGCAGUGGGGGAUAACUAAUCGAAAGAUUAGCUAAUACCGCAUAUUUUCUGAGGAAGAAAGCAGGGGACCUUUGGGCCUUGCGCUGUUUGAGCGGCCGAUAUCUGAUUAGCUAGUUGGUGGGGUAAAGGCCUACCAAGGCGACGAUCAGUAGCGGGUCUGAGAGGAUGAUCCGCCACACUGGGACUGAGACACGGCCCAGACUCCUACGGGAGGCAGCAGUGGGGAAUUUCGGACAAUGGGCGCAAGCCUGAUCCAGCCAUGCCGCGUGUCUGAAGAAGGCCUUCGGGUUGUAAAGGACUAUUGUCAGGGAAGAAAAGGGCGGGGUUAAUACCCCUGUCUGAUGACGGUACCUGAAGAAUAAGCACCGGCUAACUACGUGC
rnacentral:rRNA from 1 species